rnacentral:rRNA from 1 species
UACGUAGGGUGCAAGGGUUAAUCGGAAUUACUGGGCGUAAAGCGUGCGCAGGCGGUGAUGUAAGACAGGUGUGAAAUCCCCGGGCUCAACCUGGGAACUGCAUCUGUGACUGCAUCGCUGGAGUACGGCAGAGGGGGAUGGAAUUCCGCGUGUAGCAGUGAAAUGCGUAGAUAUGCGGAGGAACACCGAUGGCGAAGGCAAUCCCCUGGGCCUGUACUGACGCUCAUGCACGAAAGCGUGGGGAGCAAACAGG